CCCCAGCAGAGGUCUGAACCCUCCCAGACAAACCUGAACCCCAGAAAUGAUCUGAGACCCCCUGACCGACCUGAACCCCCCCAGGAUAUGUCUGAGCCCCCCCAGACCCAUCUGAGCCCCCCAAGAGUGGUCGGAGCCCCCCAGAUCAAACUGAGCCCCCCAGACCAAUCUCCCCCCCCCCCCCCCAGUAGUGGUCUCAGCCCCACAGUCCAACCUGAGCCCCCCAGGAGCGAUCUGAGCCCCCCCCCCACCGCUGUCUAUAGACAUAGAGGGACCUGGAGUGGGGUGCAGGUGCCUAUGGGGCCCUAUUGCUCCUAUAGUGUAUAUGGCCCUGUUGGCGUAGCACAUAUGGGGCACGGAUAGGCCUAUAGGUACGUGUGCAGAGCUGAGCAUAUGGGGUUUUUAUUUACAUACAGCCCUAUAUGUCGUCUUAUUUCCAGUGCUGUGGGCAGAGCUGGGGGUGGGGUUUGCAUAUGGGCCAUAUGUGGUCCCUAUAGGGUCCAUAGGCUUCUCAGUGUGGGUAUAUGGGUGCCUAUAGGAUCCAUAUGUGGUCCCUAUAGGGUCCGUAGGCUUCUCAGUGUGGGUAUAUGGGUGCCUAUGGGGUCCAUAUGUGAUCCCUAUAGGGUCCGUAGGCUUCUCAGUGUGGGUAUAUGGGUGCCUAUGGGGUCCAUAUGUGGUUCCUAUGGGGUCCGUAGGCUUCUCAGUGUGGGUAUAUGGGUGCCUAUAGGAUCCAUAUGUGGUCCCUAUGGGGUCCGUAGGCUUCUCAGUGUGGGUAUAUGGGUGCCUAUAGGGUCCAUAUGUGGUCCCUAUGGGGUCCGUAGGCUUCUCAGUGUGGGUAUAUGGGUGCCUAUAGGGUCCAUUUGUGGCCCCCAUAGGGUGCAUACCCAUACAGUGCUGUAGGUCUAGGGGGGGCUCUGGGGGUCCCAUUCCCCUUUUCCCCCAGGGAAGCACGGGGGGGGACGGGGGGGGAUGGACGGAUGGAUUGGGAAACCCCAUUGAGUGUUAACCCCCCCCCCCAGUAAAAAAACAACCCCAAACCCACCAAUUUCUGCCCCCAAAAUGAGCAUCCCCGGGGGGAUCCCCCCCGGCCGCAGGUCCUGGCAGGUCACAGCAGCGAUCUGAGCCCCCCCAGGAGCGAUCUGAGCCCCCCCAGCAGUGAUCUGAGCCCCCCAGGAGCGAUCUGAGCCCCCCCAGGAGCGGUCUGAGACCAAAACGAGCAUCCCCGGGGGGGUCCCCCCGGCCGCAGGUCCUGGCAGGUCACAGCAGCGGUCCGUCCCGACCCCUCUCUGCCCCCCCCCCCCCCCAUCCCCCCCCCGUGCCCUUUUCACCCCACACUGCCCGAGGACAGCCGUGACCCUUUCACCCCCCCCGCCCCGCUCCAUCGCUCCGCCGUCAUUAACGCCGAGCAGCGGAUCCGGAGCCGCUUUGACAGAUGAGAACGCGGGGGUGGGAGGGGG
ensembl:lncRNA